rnacentral:pre_miRNA from 1 species
UCUUACGGAUGAGCAAAGACAGUGGUCUCUUGAGAUGGAAUCUACUCCUGGUGAAGAAGCCGUGAA